GUGACUGGGAGCAAGUCACUUCCCCUCUCUGGUCACGUUUCCUCAUUUCUAAAUUGACGGGAAAUCAUCUCCAAGCUCAUUUCUUGCUGAAGAUUCUGGGAUCCUAUCAUUGGAAGAACUGGGUCUGUUUCAAAGGAGCACAGCAUUUGCACACCAAGCCGAGUUUCUAACACGCAGGAAGUGUACUUCACUGCGAUGACUGGAAACCAUCACUUAUGACAUCAUCUACAAGUAACAGAUGAAGAGAAUGUUGACCAGCCAUAGGACUGCAUCUGGAACAUGUAUUAUACUUACCGCAAUGCUUCUGCAUAAAAAAGAUACUCCUUUAACUGAUCUGCAUAAUGUUCUUCAUCUUCCAAAAUAUC